UUUGAGACCGGCGCACGGGUGAGUAACGCGUAUGCAACCUACCUUAUACAGGGGAAUAGCCCGAAGAAAUUCGGAUUAAUGCUCCAUGGUUUAUCGAUAUGGCAUCGUAUUGAUAAUAAAGAUUUAUCGGUAUAAGAUGGGCAUGCGUAUCAUUAGCUAGUUGGUGUGGUAACGGCAUACCAAGGCAACGAUGAUUAGGGGUCCUGAGAGGGAGAUCCCCCACACUGGUACUGAGACACGGACCAGACUCCUACGGGAGGCAGCAGUGAGGAAUAUUGGUCAAUGGAGGCAACUCUGAACCAGCCAUGCCGCGUGCAGGAUGACGGUCCUAUGGAUUGUAAACUGCUUUUGUACAGGAAGAAACCUCCCUACGAGUAGGGACUUGACGGUACUGUAAGAAUAAGGAUCGGCUAACUCCGUGCCAGCAGCCGCGGUAAUACGGAGGAUCCGAGCGUUAUCCGGAAUUAUUGGGUUUAAAGGGUUCGUAGGCGGCUUUGUAAGUCAGUGGUGAAAUUUCCUAGCUUAACUAGGACACUGCCAUUGAUACUGCAGAGCUUGAAUAGUAUGGAAGUAACUAGAAUAUGUAGUGUAGCGGUGAAAUGCUUAGAUAUUACAUGGAAUACCAAUUGCGAAGGCAGGUUACUACGUAUUUAUUGACGCUGAUGAACGAAAGCGUGGGGAGCGAACAGGAUUAGAUACCCUGGUAGUCCACGCCGUAAACGAUGGAUACUAGCUGUUCGGUUUUCGGACUGAGUGGCUAAGCGAAAGUGAUAAGUAUCCCACCUGGGGAGUACGUUCGCAAGAAUGAAACUCAAAGGAAUUGACGGGGGCCCGCACAAGCGGUGGAGCAUGUGGUUUAAUUCGAUGAUACGCGAGGAACCUUACCAGGGCUUAAAUGUAGAUUGACAGAUUUGGAAACAGAUUUUUCUUCGGACAAUUUACAAGGUGCUGCAUGGUUGUCGUCAGCUCGUGCCGUGAGGUGUCAGGUUAAGUCCUAUAACGAGCGCAACCCCUAUUGUUAGUUACCAGCGCGUAGUGGCGGGGACUCUAGCAAGACUGCCGGUGCAAACCGUGAGGAAGGUGGGGAUGACGUCAAAUCAUCACGGCCCUUACGUCCUGGGCUACACACGUGCUACAAUGGCAAGUACAGAAAGCAGCUACCUGGCAACAGGAUGCGAAUCUCCAAAGCUUGUCUCAGUUCGGAUUGGAGUCUGCAACUCGACUCUAUGAAGCUGGAAUCGCUAGUAAUCGGAUAUCAGCCAUGAUCCGGUGAAUACGUUCCCGGGCCUUGUACACAC
rnacentral:rRNA from 1 species